rnacentral:rRNA from 1 species
GAUGAACGCUGGCGGCGUGCCUAAUACAUGCAAGUCGAGCGAACAGACGAGGAGCUUGCUCCUCUGACGUUAGCGGCGGACGGGUGAGUAACACGUGGAUAACCUACCUAUAAGACUGGGAUAACUUCGGGAAACCGGAGCUAAUACCGGAUAAUAUAUUGAACCGCAUGGUUCAAUAGUGAAAGACGGUUUUGCUGUCACUUAUAGAUGGAUCCGCGCCGCAUUAGCUAGUUGGUAAGGUAACUGCUUACCAAGGCAACGAUGCGUAGCCGACCUGAGAGGGUGAUCGGCCACACUGGAACUGAGACACGGUCCAGACUCCUACGGGAGGCAGCAGUAGGGAAUCUUCCGCAAUGGGCGAAAGCCUGACGGAGCAACGCCGCGUGAGUGAUGAAGGUCUUCGGAUCGUAAAACUCUGUUAUUAGGGAAGAACAAAUGUGUAAGUAACUAUGCACGUCUUGACGGUACCUAAUCAGUAAGCCACGGCUAACUACGUG